AGGUAUUUGUUCAAAAGUGAGGCAAGAGAAUGUCAAACAGCAAGGACUCACUAGACUCUUAUGUACUCAUCACUGGCAUGGUGAAUAGAUGAAAUCAUGGAUAACCUGCAACAACUUCAAAAUCAUGUUACAGCUGAAAACUUCAGCAAUACAAUCGCGAGGGAAGGAAG